rnacentral:tRNA from 1 species
GAUGCGGUAGCCGAGUGGUUCAGGCAUCUGUCUGCAAAGCAGAUCACGUAGGUUCGAUUCCUACCCGCAUCU